rnacentral:rRNA from 1 species
GGAGUUAGCCGGUGCUUCUUCUGUGAGUGAUGUCCUUCCUGCCGGCUAUUAACCCGCAGGCCUUCUUCCUCACUGAAAGUGCUUUACAACCCGAAGGCCUUCUUCACACACGCGGCAUGGCUGGAUCAGGGUUGCCCCCAUUGUCCAAUAUUCCCCACUGCUGCCUCCCGUAGGAGUCUGGGCCGUGUCUCAGUCCCAGUGUGGCUGAUCAUCCUCUCAGACCAGCUACGGAUCGUCGCCUUGGUGAGCCGUUACCUCACCAACCAGCUAAUCCGACAUAGGCUCAUCCGAUAGCGCGAGGCCCGAAGGUCCCCCGNUUUCCCCCGUAGGGCGUAUGCGGUAUUAGCCUGGGUUUCCCCAGGUUAUCCCCCACUACCGGGCAGAUUCCCUAUGCAUUACUCACCCGUCCGCCGCUCGCCACCAGGGAGCAAGCUCCCCGUGCUGCCGCUCGACUUGCAUGUGUUAGGCCUGCCGCCAGCGUUCAAUCUGAGCCAUAAUCAAACUCUGA